UGGCAACAGAGGACAACAGCGAACAGCAGCACACCGCAAUACAUUGAUCAUCAAGACAGUGAAGUAUACCAUAAUCGUAAGGGCUUGCCAUGUCUCCCGAGCAUAGAAUCCUGAUGGACCUAUGAUGUGUUCCCAACUGACUUCAACAAGACUCAAAGCAAGCACAAGGUAAGGUGAGCUAUGCCAGAGAAUCAACCCUGGAAUCUUAUUCAACUCAGAUUUAUGACCGGCCCACUUAAGAUUCCACUGUGGGUGAGGAGACCCUCCUUUACAGCUUUCCACUCACUCUGGGGUCCAGAUUGCAUUUCUACAGAAAGUGUAGCACCUCAGAACACUCCACUUCAAGCCACAAGAGAGGAAAGGGUGUGCUAAAAUCUCACACCAACUCUUAACUGACAAUGACCUGGUCACAUGAUCCCAUCUUAACCAAAGGGAGGCUGGUAAAAAUCUUUUAUGCGUACCCAGGACACGAGCCAGAAAAUGGCACCAAC